rnacentral:rRNA from 1 species
GACGAACGCUGGCGGCGUGCUUAACACAUGCAAGUCGAACGGAAAGGCCUUGCUUUUGUGGGGUGCUCGAGUGGCGAACGGGUGAGUAACACGUGAGUAACCUGCCCUUGACUUUGGGAUAACUUCAGGAAACUGGGGCUAAUACCGGAUAGGAGCUCCUGCUGCAUGGUGGGGGUUGGAGUGUUUAGGGGUUUGGGGAUGGACUCGUGGCUUAUGAGCUUGUUGGUGGGGGAGUGGCUUACCAAGGCUUUGACGGGUAUCCGGCCUGAGAGGGUGACCGGCCACAUUGGGACUGAGAUACGGCCCAGACUCCUACGGGAGGCAGCAGUGGGGGAUAAUGCACAAUGGGCGGAAGCAGGAUGAAGGAACGACGCGUGCGGGAUGACGGACUUCGGGUUGUAAACCGCUUUCGCCUCUGACGAAGCGUGAGUGACGGUAACGGGUAAAGAAGCACCGGCUAACUACGUG